CUUACCCCAGGUUGCUUGAAUCCCCAGUGGAAAGGAAAACAUGGAUUAUUGAUCAUGCAUCUGCUUGGGAUGGUCCAGGUCGCCUUUGAAAAAAUCAGGGUCUUGCUCUGUUGCCCAGGCUGGAGUGCAGUGGUCUGAUAAUGCAUGGGUCAAGCCCCAAGGCCUCUUCCUGCC